GACGUAGGGCGCGAGCGUUGUCCGGAUUUAUUGGGCGUAAAGAGCUCGUAGGCGGCUCGAAAAGUCGGCGGUGAAAACUCGGGACUCAACUCCGAGGCGCCCGUCGAUACUGUCGAGCUUGAGUCCGGUAGGGGAGUGUGGAAUUCCUGGUGUAGCGGUGAAGUGCGCAGAUAUCAGGAGGAACACCGAUGGCGAAGGCAGCACUCUGGGCCGGCACUGACGCUGAGGAGCGAAAGCGUGGGGAGCGAACAGG
rnacentral:rRNA from 1 species